rnacentral:rRNA from 1 species
UGGCUCAGGACGAACGCUGGCGGCGUGCCUAAUACAUGCAAGUCGAGCGAGCGGAACCAACAGAUUUACUUCGGUAAUGACGUUGGGAAAGCGAGCGGCGGAUGGGUGAGUAACACGUGGGGAACCUGCCCCUAAGUCUGGGAUACCAUUUGGAAACAGGUGCUAAUACCGGAUAAUAAAGCAGAUCGCAUGAUCAGCUUUUGAAAGGCGGCGUAAGCUGUCGCUAAGGGAUGGCCCCGCGGUGCAUUAGCUAGUUGGUAAGGUAACGGCUUACCAAGGCGACGAUGCAUAGCCGAGUUGAGAGACUGAUCGGCCACAUUGGGACUGAGACACGGCCCAAACUCCUACGGGAGGCAGCAGUAGGGAAUCUUCCACAAUGGACGCAAGUCUGAUGGAGCAACGCCGCGUGAGUGAAGAAGGUUUUCGGAUCGUAAAGCUCUGUUGUUGGUGAAGAAGGAUAGAGGUAGU